rnacentral:rRNA from 1 species
UACAGAGGGUGCGAGCGUUGUUCGGAAUUAUUGGGCGUAAAGCGCGCGUAGGCGGCUUUGCAAGCCGGAUGUGAAAUCCCCGGGCUUAACCUGGGAACUGCAUUCGGGACUGCAUUGCUAGAGUAUGGGAGAGGGAAGUGGAAUUUCAGGUGUAGCGGUGAAAUGCGUAGAUAUCUGAAGGAACAUCAGUGGCGAAAGCGACUUCCUGGACCAAUACUGACGCUCAUGUGCGAAAGCGUGGGGAGCAAACAGG